UACGGAGGGGGCGAGCGUUGUUCGGAAUUAUUGGGCGUAAAGGGCGCGUAGGCGGCCGGCCAAGUCGGGUGUGAAAUCCCUCGGCUCAACCGAGGAACUGCACUCGAUACUGGCUGGCUUGAGUCCGGGAGGGGAUGGUGGAAUUCCCAGUGUAGCGGUAAAAUGCGUAGAUAUUGGGAAGAACACCGGUGGCGAAGGCGGCUCACUGGCCCGAUACUGACGCUGAGGCACGAAAGCGUGGGGAGCGAACAGG
rnacentral:rRNA from 1 species